CGCCUCUUGAAAAUAAAAUGAGAGGUCCAACCUGCCCAGUGAAAAUUUUCAACGGCCGCGGUAUCCUGACCGUGCUAAGGUAGCGCAAUCACUUGCCCUUUAAUUGGGGGCUAGUAUGAAUGGUCAAACGAGGGUGAAGCUGUCUCCCUCUGGAGGCUCAGAAAUUAUCCUACAUGUGAAGAGACAUGUAUAUACUAGGAAGACGAGAAGACCCUGUCAAGCUUCACAGGCUUUUUUUUAAUAAACCAGAAAUCUUACCCUGUUUUGUUGGGGCAACACCGGAACAAAAGCUUCCGGCCACCACUAUUUCCCUCAGUCUACAAGAUCCGGCAUGGCCGAACACAGAACAAGCUACUGCAGGGAUAACAGGCUAAUCCGUCUCGAGAGCUCACAUUGACAGACGGGGUUGGCACCUCGAUGUUGGCUUAGGGGCCCUGACCGAGGCAGCACUUGGUCAAAGGAGGUUUGUUCAACCUAUAAUUCCCU
rnacentral:rRNA from 19 species